GGGGGCUGUAGUCUCAUGUCGUUCAAAUGGUUAUAAACUAAAUCUGGCCCAGCUGUACGGGGCUUUGGAACGCAGAUAAAUUGAAAACAUGUUGGAGGGAGACUGUCUGGUCAGAGCGGGGGACAUGGAGGGGAGAUGGAGGGGAGAUGGGGGGGAUGGGGGUGAGAUGUGGUGAGAUGGGGGAGAUGGAGGAGAUGGAGAGGAGAUGGAGGGAGAUGGGGGAGAUGGAGGGAGAUGGAGGGAGAUGGAGGGGAGAUGGAGGGGAGAUGUGGGGAGAUGGGGGAGAUGGAGGGGAGAUGGAGGGGAGAUGGAGG
ensembl:lncRNA